rnacentral:sRNA from 1 species
CUCAAGGCCCUCUCGGGCCACCAUGCUUUUGCAUAUGCUGUCCCUGGUCCCGGAAGCACCCUCUGCCAGCCUGCCCCCAGCACACGCCUAAUCGCCCUUCCAUGCUCUGCCAAAGUGUCGCUCCUCUGGGAGUCCUCCCUGCCCAGAAUAUUGUUGGAUGCUCCCCCCAUGCCCCCACGGAGUCUGUACGUAUCUGUGCCAUGCCAGUUCACAGCACCCCAUUGUAACUGUUUGCGUGUCUGUCCCUGUCACUCCACCCCCAUCUCCCUAUGCCCAUUAGGCCCCAGAGGGCUGGGACUGUGGGUUGUUCAUUUGCACAGUGCCUGGCACUCACUAGGGACUCGAAGAAUGAAUGAAUGUGGAAUGUGGUUUACACAGCCAGGGAGAAUGGGAUACCAGCCAGGGCAAGAACAGUCUACUGGGUGGGGCAGGAUCCAGGACAAGGAGGUGAGCAGCCCUUCCUCUGGCCACUCAAGUAGUGGGAACUGGGAGGAGGGGCGCUUUGUCUAUGCAGUCUUCUUAUGGCUCAUCACCAUACCAGGACAGGGGCACCCUGCCCCCCUGGCCCACGGCUGGACUUCAGAGACUGGCUCGGAGCCCCCAGGGAACAUUUGCAGGGCCAGCCCCCAACUUUGGGCCCCUUGGGCCUGGCCGCUGGCCCCUGGCCUUCCUGGGUGAAAUAUGGCACUGGAAGUAAUGCUCUUGGCUGUGGGAGCUACAGAAAGCAAUGAGGUCUCUAUCAAACCCAGCCUCCUCUCUCUCGAGAGGAACCAGUGGGGAUACCCUACCCCUCAGCCCCAAAGCCCUGUGCACCUGAGGGUAAAAAUCUGGGUGCCACGGGCUCAGGAAGGCUUGCUUGGGAGCAAGAGGGAGGUGGAUGUGUCUGGGGAGGCAUUUCUGAGCACAAGAGCCUCCCUGGAGUUCUGCCAUCGUCUCUCCCCAUUCUGUGGUGCCCGCAAUAACCACCGUUCUGACUCUCCUCACCCCUCCAGCCUCCCAGCGUGCGGCCUGCCAACCCCGCUCCCAUUGUAAGUCUCUUGCUUUCUUUUUGGAUCCUCUUGAUUUUGGCUCUUCUUCUGGGCUAAUGGAGGAUGCAGGGCCAGGCAUUGGGCCUCUCCCAUCGGGAGUGGGGAGGGCAGAGGCCAGGCCCUUGACCAUCUACCCGGCCUGGCGAGGUUGGUGGGUGAAUGUGGUUGGCUGGCCGUGAUGGAACAACCUGAGUUGCCACUCCAUGGGCAGCCACGGAAGACCAUGCCCCACAUUCACUUCUCUCACCUGCAAAGGGAGGCUAGGCUGAGAGACGUUUCCCCGAGAGGAAAGACGGGCCAGAGCCACCAGCGUCCCCAUCUGUCUUCUCCAGGGUUCUAACCUUUGCCCCUCCCUCAUCCCCUGGACCCACCCUCCGUGGGGUCUGUGGGGCCACUGGGCUGGUUAUGCCCCUGGAGGGUGCCUGCCGUGUGGCACCCUCUGGUGGGAGCUGGGGUGGUCUUUACUCAGGAGAGCCUGGGUGAGACCUGGUUUCUUUCUUCCAGACCCAGACAGUCAUCCACACGGUGCAGAGUGCCUCUGGACAGAUGUUCUCUACUCCCGCCAUCCUACCUAUGAUGUACCCCCACCCUGCCUAUCCGAUGCCUUUCAUCACCACCAUUCCGGGAGGGCUGUACCCAUCCAAGUCCAUCAUCCUGUCAGGCACUGUCCUGCCCAGUGCUCAGAGGUAAGCCAAAGGCUCCAGUGACCUCUGGGAAGAGAGAGCCCUUCAAGGUCAUUCCAGCCAUUCCCCUGGCUUUUGGCAGGCUGGGGAUGAUGCGGAGGAAAUGGGGCUCAGAACUCAGUGGACAAAGAUCCAAGUAGGCUGCCCACCCCAGGUUCCACAUCAACCUGUGCUCUGGGAGCCACAUCGCCUUCCACAUGAACCCCCGUUUUGAUGAGAAUGCUGUGGUCCGUAACACCCAGAUCAACAACUCUUGGGGGUCUGAGGAGCGAAGUCUGCCCCGAAAAAUGCCCUUCGUCCGAGGCCAGAGCUUCUCGGUGUGGAUCUUGUGUGAAGCUCACUGCCUCAAGGUGGCCGUGGAUGGUCAGCACGUGUUUGAAUACUACCAUCGCCUGAGGAACCUGCCCACCAUCAACAAACUGGAAGUGGGUGGCGACAUCCAGCUGACCCACGUGCAGACAUAGGCGGCUCCCUGGCCCUGGGGCCGGGGGCUGGGGUGUGGGGCAGUCUGGGUCCUCUCAUCAUCCCCACUUCCCAGGCCCAGCCUUUCCAACCGUGCCUGGGAUCUGGGCUUUAAUGCAGAGGCCAUGUCCUUUUCUGGUCCUGCUUCUGGCUACAGCCACCCUGGAAUCGAGAAGGCAGCUGACUGGGAUUGCCUUCCUCAGCCGCAGCAGCACCUGGGGCGCCAGCUGCUGGAAUCCUACAAUCCCAGAAGGCGGGCA